rnacentral:rRNA from 1 species
ACGAACGCUGGCGGCGUGCUUAACACAUGCAAGUCGAACGGUGAAGCGCCUUCCUUUUUGGUGGGUGUGGAUGAGUGGCGAACGGGUGAGUAACACGUGAGUAACCUGCCCCCUUCUUCUGGAUAACCGCAUGAAAGUGUGGCUAAUACGGGAUAUUCUGGGUCUGUCGCAUGAUGGGUCUGGGAAAGAUAUUGUUUCGGUGGGGGAUGGGCUCGCGGCCUAUCAGCUUGUUGGUGGGGUGAUGGCCUACCAAGGCGGUGACGGGUAGCCGGCCUGAGAGGGUGGACGGUCACACAGGGACUGAGGCACGGCCCAGACUCCUACGGGAGGCAGCAGUGGGGAAUAUUGCACAAUGGGCGCAAGCCUGAUGCAGCGACGCCGCGUGAGGGAUGGAGGCCUUCGGGUUGUGAACCUCUUUCGCCAGUGAAGCAGGCCUGCCUCGUUUGUGGGUGGGUUGACGGUAGCUGGAUAAGAAGCGCCGGCUAACUACGUG